rnacentral:lncRNA from 1 species
UUGUUAAAAAGAAUAAAAGUUUUAAUUAAAACAAAUAAAGGAAAAAGGGAAAACACAAAACACACGUACUGGUGUGUUUGUGGGAUCGAUCAAGAGGGAGAAGCCAAGAACAAACCCUAACUUUCAGAAAAUCACAAGAUUAGGAAGGAAUUAAGGGCCUAAAUUGAUGCAUGAGCUCCAAUCUUUAACUAUCUAAGCUUGUUCAACACAAGGAAAAAGACGAACAUGAUGAAUUAUGAUGAUAUGUUUAUGGAGGCGUUAAGGAAGAAAGUUCGAGUCAAGUGA